CAGUCGCCGCGGGAAUACGUAGGGUGCGAGCGUUAAUCGGAAUUACUGGGCGCAAAGCGUGCGCAGGCGGUUGUGCAAGACAGAUGUGAAAUCCCCGAGCUUAACUUGGGAACUGCAUUUGUGACUGCACGGCUAGAGUGUGUCAGAGGGGGGUAGAAUUCCACGUGUAGCAGUGAAAUGCGUAGAUAUGUGGAGGAAUACCGAUGGCGAAGGCAGCCCCCUGGGAUAACACUGACGCUCAUGCACGAAAGCGUGGGGAGCAAACAGGAUUAGAUACCCGCGUAUUCCCUGUCUCUUAUAC
rnacentral:rRNA from 1 species